AUCAUUCUGAAUUUCUUUUCAGGUAGUUUGCCUAUUUCUUCUUCAUUUAUUUGGACUUCUGUUAAGAUCAAACUAACUAAAGCACAAACUAAGAAACGAAACUAAAGCAAUGUGCCGUGUGGGGAGUAAAGCAAUGAAAACAAAACUAAUAAACAUGUUGAGAGGAAAGGAAAUAAAGAAAAGAAAGAAUAGAUAUGCAAAGUUAAAUAAAGAUAAUACAAGAAGACCCGAUGCAUCCUCCCUGGAUGAGCAACAUAUUACGUGUAUUUUGUGCAAUUAGUGGUACGUCAAGUGACCGAAGCUAUGGUUCCCCAAGAUACACUGUUGAAAUAUGAGGACAUGCAGAUGUCAAGUGACAACAAGACUGAACUUCUCAGGAAUAUUUGGAGCUGUGCAAAUGUUUAAAAUUUAAAGAUUUGUUAUACACAGAGUGUUUCUUCCUGACACCAAAACUUUCAUGCUUUCAUACAGGGUGCUUACAUAUUUGUAAAUAUUUAAGCAACUUGAAAGUGCCUGGAAAAUUGCACCACUGUGCUUAGUUUGUACUUUUUAAGGUAGAUCUACAUACCGAGGAAUAGAGCUCAAAAACUUUCAUUUGAUUUGCUUAAUUGUUACUUAAAAUAUUAAUGGCACUGUGUAAAAUGGUAUAAUGGCAGUCAAUAAAAGUAAAACUUCUUUGUACUUAGAAGUGAAGGAAAUAAUACUUUGAACUUAGCAUUUUUCUUGACAGGAAGCUAAAUUCAUUAUUAUACUAGUCCUCGGAGGAAAAAACAAUGAAAAAUUUUUCAUGAAACAUGGAUACUUCCAACUGAGAUCAUUUGAAACCUUGCCUACCAAUGGUCUAGACUGAGCUAAAGGAAACAAAACCAUUAUGUAAACAAGGAAAUUUUCACAAAGAAAGGACAAAUAUAUAGAAAUACCAGGCUUCCCAAUCCUUCAAGUUUUGAUCCAAUUAUGCUAGGUAUUCCAGUCAGUGGUCUCUAACAUACUAGGCAAGGGAUUCCUUUCUGGCCUUUGUUUGCCUAGCAAGCAGCAUUUGUUGCCGAAGCUUCAUCAGUUGAGGCUGUCCAUAAAGCUAAACAAAUAUCUCUGAGAUUUGCAGUUACUUCAAAGUUUUAGCAGCAGAAUCUGAGGGUAGGUAUUUUGUAAUGAUGAUUUCUUCAGUUUACAAGGUUAGUAAGUAUUUUGAUAGAACUUGAUGAUCACAGCAUUCCUUGGGUCAGUAUACAACACGUAUUUAGCAGUUUCUGGCUAAGGAUUACAUCUCUAACUAUGAAGAAACUAAAGAUUAACUAAAUAAUUCAGGAGAAACCAAGAUGUGAAGGACAUGUUUACCUUGAACUAUCCAUAAAAUUUUGGCUGCCUUUCUUAUAAACAUUAAGUCCUAGAUUUAUUGUUCAUAUGUAGUUUAGCCUAUUUUAUUGACAAAAAAGGAAAAAAACAGACACUGAAAUAUAAGUGGAUUGCAUGGAGCUUUGGCUUUUUUAAUACUCUGUGAUUAAGUAAAUCUUAGAGCUUAUUAUGCACCUGGCUUGGCCAUUUUUCUUUACAUGUCAUUUGUAAGCUUUCAGGGGAACAUUAAAUUACUUAUGAAAGGUUAAUUUUGUAUUUUAAUAAGGGAUUCAGAAAUUCCAGAGGCAGUUGGUAAUUCCUUAAUAUCUUGGAGUAACGUGAAAAGUUACUUUCACCUUUAAAACUAUUAUAUUUGGCACAUAUGUGUAAAAAAUCAUCACCCAGAGUGAUGCCUUCUGAGAAUGAGGCGUCUUAGGGAAACGUCAGUGCUCUUUUGUCAAUGACCAGUCCCUAUCUUAUCCCCCAGUAUGGCAUUGUGCCCUGUGGGUCAUUUU